rnacentral:rRNA from 1 species
CAGCGCCACGAGUGGCAAUCAUUUUUAUUGGGCCUAAAACGUCCGUAGCCGGUUUAGUAAAUGCCUGGGUAAAUCGUGUAGCUUAACUAUACGACUUCCGGGUAGACUACUAAACUUGAGACCGGGAGAGGCUAGAGGUACUCCUGGGGUAGAGGUGAAAUUCUGUAAUCCUAGGGGGACCACCAGUGGCGAAGGCGUCUAGCUAAAACGGGUCUGACGGUGAGGGACGAAGCCCUGGGGCACAAACCGGAUUAGAUACCCGAGUAGUCC